GAGACAGCAUCUCACUGUGUCACCCAGACUGGAGUGCAUUGGUGUGAACAUGACUCACUGCAGCCUCAACCUGCUGGGCUCAAGCAAACCUCCUACUUCAGCCCUACAAGUAGCUGGGACUACAGUUUUACAACUCAGAUUGAAGAGGAAGUGCACAAUGAGCUCUGCAGCUUUGCCAGCGAUGCUGAUCUCUUCCAGGUGCUGAAACGCUAAGAAUUUCUUACCGAGACCUUUGAAAGUAUAUUUCAGACAUCAGGACACUUCAUUCACGUUGUGGUUACACUGUGUCCCAAUAAAAGAAACGUUGACGUCCUGGCCCCUGGUACCUUGAAUGUGACCUUAGUGGUAAAUAGGGUCUUUGCAGAGGUACUCAAAAUGAAGUCAUGCUGGAUUAGAGUGGGCCCUACAUCCAAUAACUGCCAUCCUUAUAAGGGAGAGAGAGAUUUGAAGACACGGAGAGACACACAGGGAAAAAGGCUACCUGACUGUGGAGACAGAGAUUGAAGUUUAUGUUGUCACCAACCAAGGAACGCCAAGGAUUGCCAGUAACUACCAGAGGCUGGAAGAGGCAAGGAAGACUCCUCCCUAGUCCUUCAGGCAGAGCAUGGCCCCACGAGCCCUUGAUUUUGGACUUGAAUUGUGACAGACCAAAUUUCUGUGUUGCAAACUAUCCUGCUUGUGGCAAUUUAUUACCGUAGCCCUAGGAAACUAAUACAACUCCUCAAUACAGGUGUUACCUAAAUGUGGGCAUUUAAUGGGACUCACGUAUUCUCCCCAUAACCAAUAUCAUUAGCACACCUAAGAAAAUUAACAAUAAUUUUAUGAUAUCCAAUCCAUACUCAAAUAUAUCCAAUUGUUCUCAAAAUAUCUUUUAUAGAUUUUUUUUUCCUUUUUUUUUGAUCCAGGAUCCAAUCAAAGUAUCUUACACGCAUUUGAUUAUUAUGUCUCUCUAAUUUUUUUAUUCUAAAAGAAUUCAUCUUAAAAAAUGACUUCUUGAUGUGUCCAG
rnacentral:lncRNA from 1 species